AACAAAGGAAAGGCAGGUGCUGGCUGUUAAUCUGGAACAAGAAAAUGGAAGGGAGAAUGACAAAGAGGAGAAGAUGUACCAAAUUGAGUGGGUGUGCUAAUUACUAACCACUCACUACCAGAAACAUCAAAGCACGAGAGACAAUAGGAGACAACAGGGACUAUUUUAAAUCCAACUGUGCUUCUGAACCCCCCUACGCACCACCAGUCCACCAACACAUACACACACAGACACACACACAGAAUAUUACGAUGGCUGAGAGCAUAAUUAAAACGCCUCAAGGCAGUUGGGAAGGUGUUUCAGUCGGGGUGUGCGUGUGAGUGUCUUUGCAUCGCAGACAUCGUGGGAUCAUAUCAUCAUAGCUUACCUUUGCAGUAUGUCUGCCUACCCCUAAUCCACCCUGUGUAGUAUCUGUGGUUGUAUUUCUUGUCUGUUUGUUCAUUUAUACCUUCUUUGAGUGGUAACAACAGCAGUGGAGACUGAGCGAAAGAGAGAGGGGCAAAGUGAAACAGAACUCCAGAGGAGGAAAGAGAUGCCACAACUGCAUGCCCUAACCUCCGUGAAUAAGAAAUAAUAUAAUAUAGCUAUGGAAAUUGUUACACCCCGGCCUAGGCAACCGGCGUGAAACGCAGGAAAAUAAAAAUAAGGAAAAAAACACGACAAAAAAACCCACUAAGGCUCUCCACCAAAUUCCCAAAAAGGAAGUGUCUCAAAACGAAAGUAUUGACAAAACCCAUUUACAGCUAUUUAAAACAAACUAUUUAUUUACAACACGGGGAAAGAUCGCAACCAUGACAUACUGAAACACUUAAAUACAUAGAAGGAGCAAUCAGGGAAUGGACCACAGGAGGGAAACACAGCUGGGGCAAAUUAGACCUGAUGAGACAAGGAAACGUAAACUGAACACACUAAGAUAACACAGACUUUCAAAGUAAAGCAGGAAAUACAUGACAGUCACGCAAAAAAACAAAAAACUGACAACACCGAAAUGUAACAUUUCCCCCCCACCCAAAAAUCAACCAUGUAACCCCAAGUGAAAAGUUUGAUCCAGACAGAUGAAGCCGAUGAAGGCUGGAGCGGUCCCACGGACCCUCCAGCAGACGAUGAAGGCUGGAGCGGCCCCUCGGACCCUCCAGCGAAGGCGGAUGAAGGCUGGAGCGGUCCCUCGGACCCUCCAGCAGACGACAAAGGCUAGGGCGGUCCCCGGACCCCCCAGCGAAGGCAAUCCCGGACGAGUCCCCAUAUGUUACACCCUAGCCUAAGCAACUGGCGUGCAACGCAGGAAAAUAAAAAUAAGGAAAAAACACACGACAAAAAAACCCACUAAGGCUCUCCACCAAAUUCCCAAAACGGAAGUGUCUCAAAACGAAAGUAUUGACAAAACCCAUUUACAGCUAUUUACAACAAACUAUUUAUUUACAACACAGGGGGAGAUCACGACCAUGACAUACUGAAACACAAGGCUUAAAUACAUAGAAGGAGCAAUCAGGGAAUGGACCACAGGAGGGAAACACAGCUGGGGCAAAUUAGACCUGACGAGACAAGGAAACGUAAACUGAACACACUAAGAUAACACAGACUUUCAAAGUAAAGCAGGAAAUACAUGACAGUCACGCAAAAAAACAAAAAACUGACAACACCGAAACGUAACAAAAUAUAAAAAUCAAUGAAUAUAAAUGUAAUUACCAAACGACUUUAUUUCCAUGUGUCCACUCUUAACUUUGUGAAAAAAAAACCCUCCACAGCACUGCUUUUGUUAACGACUCCUUAGAUUAUCUUCAGGUUUCUGCUUUUCAUAAACUGUUACUAAACACUAUCUUGCCAAAAGUAUUUCAGGUGUUCGAGUCACUUCCAUGACAACAGGAAGCGAUGCACCUGGGCAUGCAGACUGCUUUAACAGACAUUUGGGAAAAAGUGUGUUGUUCUCAGGAGCUCAGCGGUACCAUGAUAGUCAUAAAAUUUCCUCACUAUUAAAUAAUGAAGCACAGUGCGCAGAGGUCAACAACAUUCUACAGAGACAGUUGAUACAGACAUCCAAACUUUAUGUGGUCUUCAGAUUAGCUCAAGAACAGUUCAAGAGAGCUUCACUGAAUGGGUUCCCAUAGCUGAGCAGCUGCAUCCAAACCUUUCAUCACCGAGUACAAUGCCAACCAAUGCAUGCAGUGGUGCAAGGCACACCAU
ensembl:lncRNA